GUGCUUGCUUUGGCAGCACAUAUACUAAAAUUCAAACGAUAUAGAGAAAAUUAAUGUGGUCCUGUUGCAAGGAUGA
rnacentral:snRNA from 1 species